UCCUACGGGAGGCAGCAGUGGGGAAUAUUGCACAAUGGGGGAAACCCUGAUGCAGCGACGCCGCGUGGAGGAAGAAGGUCUUCGGAUUGUAAACUCCUGUUGUUGAGGAAGAUAAUGACGGUACUCAACAAGGAAGUGACGGCUAACUACGUGCCAGCAGCCGCGGUAAAACGUAGGUCACAAGCGUUGUCCGGAAUUACUGGGUGUAAAGGGAGCGCAGGCGGGAGAACAAGUUGGAAGUGAAAUCCAUGGGCUCAACCCAUGAACUGCUUUCAAAACUGUUUUUCUUGAGUAGUGCAGAGGUAGGCGGAAUUCCCGGUGUAGCGGUGGAAUGCGUAGAUAUCGGGAGGAACACCAGUGGCGAAGGCGGCCUACUGGGCACCAACUGACGCUGAGGCUCGAAAGUGUGGGUAGCAAACAGGAUUAGAUACCCUGGUAGUCCACACUGUAAACGAUGAUUACUAGGUGUUGGAGGAUUGACCCCUUCAGUGCCGCAGUUAACACAAUAAGUAAUCCACCA
rnacentral:rRNA from 1 species